rnacentral:rRNA from 1 species
AACGAACGCUGGCGGCAUGCCUAACACAUGCAAGUCGAACGAGAUCUUCGGGUCUAGUGGCGCACGGGUGCGUAACGCGUGGGAAUCUGCCCUUUGGUUCGGAAUAACAGUUGGAAACGACGGCUAAUACCGGAUGAUGACGAAAGUCCAAAGAUUUAUCGCCAGAGGAUGAGCCCGCGUAGGAUUAGCUAGUUGGUGUGGUAAGGGCGCACCAAGGCGACGAUCCUUAGCUGGUCUGAGAGGAUGAUCCGCCACAAUGGGACUGAGACACGGCCCAGACUCCUACGGGAGGCAGCAGUGGGGAAUAUUGGACAAUGGGCGAAAGCCUGAUCCAGCAAUGCCGCGUGAGUGAUGAAGGCCUUAGGGUUGUAAAGCUCUUUUACCCGGGAUGAUAAUGACAGUACCGGGAGAAUAAGCUCCGGCUAACUCCGUGCCAGCAGCCGCCGUAAUAC